rnacentral:lncRNA from 1 species
CUAAACCUCGCGUUUUAGGUGCAUCCAUCCGAGAAUUAACAUUACUACCAACCGCAAGCCUAGUACCUUAAAGGUGCGUCAAAAGGAGUAGGCCCAACAAAGCCCGAAUCCUGUUUGCGGAACCCAGACUUUGUUAAGCCCAAUAAGACUAAAGCCAAUGCAUAUAGUUGAAAAAACCUUAGUUACUUCCCCUAAGGUGUACCCGAUUCUAUUUGCUGUUGUUAN